rnacentral:rRNA from 1 species
UGAAUACGAGACGCUACGGCGUCGAAGCAGUCUAUGUCAUACUUCCAAGGAAAGCUCGCAAUGUCAUAAACAAAUAAUGCCUGUACCAUAACCGACACAGGUGGGUAGGUAGAGUAUACUGAGGGGCGCGAGAUAACUCUCUCUAAGGAACUCGGCAAAAUGACUCCGUAACUUCGGGAGAAGGAGUGCCUUAUUUAUAAGGUUGCAAUAACAAGAUCCAAGCAACUGUUUAUCAAAAACACAGGUCUCCGCUAAGUCGUAAGACGAUGUAUGGGGGCUGACGCCUGCCCAGUGCCAGAAGGUUAAAGAAGUUGGUUAGCAUUCGCGAAGCUGAUAACUGAAGCCCUGGUGAACGGCGGCCGUAACAAUAACGGUCCUAAGGUAGCGAAAUUCCUUGUCGGGUAAGUUCCGACCCGCACGAAAGGCGUAAUGAUUUGGAUACUGUCUCGGAGAGGGGCUCGGUGAAAUAGACUUGUCUGUGAAGAUGCGGACUACCUGCACCUGGACAGAAAGACCCUAUGAAGCUUUACUGUAACUUGAAAUUGAAAUUGGACUUUAUUUGCGCAGCAUAGGUGGGAGGCGUUGAGAGUAUUCUUGCGGGAAUAUUGGAGCCAUCAGUGAGAUACCACUCUUGUAAUGUUAGAUUUCUAACUUUGGAUCAUUAUCUGGUCAAAGAACAGUUUCAGGCGGGCAGUUUGACUGGGGCGGUCGCCUCCCAAAUGGUAACGGAGGCGUACAAAGGUUUCCUCUGAACGGGUAGAAAUCGUAUCUAGAGUGUAAAGGCAUAAGGAAGCUUGACUGUGAGACCUACAAGUCGAGCAGGGACGAAAGUCGGUCUUAGUGAUCUGACGGUGCUGAGUGGAAAGGCCGUCACUCAACGGAUAAAAGUUACUCUAGGAUAACAGGCUGAUCUCCCCCAAGAGUUCACAUCGACGGGGAGGUUUGGCACCUCGAUGUCGGCUCAUCGCAUCCUGGGGCGGUAGUACGUCCCAAGGGUUGGGCUGUUCGCCCAUGAAAGCGGUACGCGAGCUGGGUUCAGAACGUCGUGAGACAGUUCGGUCCAUAUCCGGUGUAGGCGUUAGAAUAUUGAGAGGAGCCUUCUUUAGUACGAGAGGACCGAGAAGGACAUACCUCUGGUGUACCAGUUAUCGUGCCAACGGUAAACGCUGGGUAGCUAUGUAUGGAGAGGAUAACCGCUGAAAGCAUCUAAGUGGGAAGCCCACCUCAAGAUAAGUA